GUAUUUUCGAAUUAAGUUAAUUCGUGAUAACAAAUGUUCAGACAAAUAAGUUAAAGGUGAUGUUGGUAAAUUAUAGAGGUUCCCCUUUCCACCACCCCAAAAGGUGACGAUAUAGAGGGUCUCCAAACGUUGCACACAAGGUGGAUAUGGAUUGUUUAAAAAGUGCCAUAAAACACUUGUUGUGAAUGAUCCUUCCGCAGGUUCACCUACGGAAA
rnacentral:misc_RNA from 1 species